UGGAAUGAUAGAAACAUCAUUUUUACAGUUUUUCCACCCCACCUUUCCUAUUACAUCUGAUUUAAUUCAUUUGAAGGUCAGACACUUAGAAGGAAGGAGCUAAAGAUUACAGGUUCUGCCAUGAAGAAUGAAAACCGUUUCCCCAGGAGCAACACUCAUACAUGCAUUGCAUUGUACCAACUAAGCAACGCAAAAGAGCUAUUGGAGUCUCACAUUUGCUUCAAUUGUAUCGCCUGAGUGACUCUAUGUCUGUUCAACUGGAUGACUAAAACAUUUGCUGUUUGUUCACUAAUCUGCAUGUACAGGAACGAAGAAAUCCCGUUGCAGAUUUUGGAAAAAGACAAAGAAAAGGAGUAUGAUGAAAAGGCAAAAUUCAACAAGAUUCAUCUUGGAAUGUACAUAAUCUACUAAAACCUGGAUGACCACAGUAUGACUUUCUCUGUUUCUUUUCCUGCAUCGAGAAGUCAUUUAGAGUUUUUUUUACAACUUAGAUGUGGUAGACUUAAACUCAGGCUUGGCCAAAUGUAAAUUGUGAUGGAAAUGAGUUUUUUUUAUUGCCUGAGUAAACAUCAUCAUAAUUAGAGUGAUUAAUGCAAACUCCUAAAAUCUUUGUAAAAAUUGUGCCUUUGACAAGGGUAAGAUUGUCAUAUUUUCAAUUUUUUUUAAAAAGGCAAUGCUUUGGAGAAGGAGAUGGAUAAUAUACAGCUGAAUCCUUCCUUUGAGGAAGAAGUCUCAAGAAAAAGACGCUGGAGGGGAUUCUGGGAAUGCUCUUUAUUGUUGUAGAGUAAAAUAAUAUCAUCUUGAAAGCUUAUCAGAGUUUCUCUCCGCCCCAUCUGACUUACACUAAAUCAAGUCAGUUCUCUUCCUUUAGGACUGAGUUUUCUUUCUCACAGUUUGUUCAUUCCUUCCCCAUUCCUGAGGUCACAUCUACAUUGCUUCACAAUAACACACAAACAUCAUCUUCUAUUUACUUUUGUCCUUUCCUGUUUCAUGGAAACUGCAAAUGACUGAUUAAUCUCUGGCAAUUAAAUCAGUCUUUGCAAUGUCAUAUCACUAAUCUCUCUGAAUGAAGCCUUUUUUUUGUGGUGUGAAAUCACAAACUUCUUUCACUAAAGCAAUAAGAUUGGUACUUGAAAUUAUAACUCUGCUAGUUAAACAAUGUCUGGCACUGAAAUGAAUAUUUAUCUCUCAAAUAAAAUAAGAAGCAGCGGUCAUAUAUUACUCUAAAUCUCAGAUAAUGCCUUCAGAUUCCUACUGGCCAGCAACGAUUUUUUUUUGACAUGGUAUUUUAGGGAAAUUUUGCCCUGAAAGGAGAUUUUUGAGACUCGGAAAAACUCUUCAUCACUUUUUCAUCAAUUGGUUCAACUUUUGAAUAUUGUAGGGCUAAGCUGCAAUAUUGUGAAUCAAAAUUUAUUCAUAAUUUGUACUUGGCAAUUAUAAUUUAAUCAUAAUGUAAUCAAUUGUUAAAUAAAACAUAUUUGUCUGGAAUUGCACCUUGUGCUAAGGGUUUAGUUUCAUAGUUCACAGUGGCUGGGUUCAGACAUUACUAAGACAUUACUACAUUCACUAAGCAAAAAAGCAAGCAACCAUACUUUAGCUUAAUGUGGUAUAUUAAUGAGUUGCCUGUAGAUGAGAUGGGCAGCAUAGUAAUUAAUUAAUUAAAUAAUUAAAUAAAAACUCUUUUUCUUUUGCCUUUGGAGACUGUACAUUGUAAAUGUAUUUGAUUUGAUUUGUUACAAUAUAUAGUGGCAUUAUUUUCCUUUCAAAGAACCAGAAUGUUACAGCUUGUUGCAUUUUUUUUCCUUUUGAUGGUGUUUAUGGUAUCCUCCCAGUUUGCCAACCAUGAACAGAUGAUUAUUACUAGGAUGAAUCAUAUUUUCUAAGGCUGUCCUGUGGCAUCUAAACCACAGUAUUGGAAACAACAGAGCUUGCAAUGAGAAACAUUUCACUUCUCUGCAAAACACUGCCAAUACUGGAACACAUUCAGAAUCUUUCUAAUUGAUGGAAAGGAUUCAUUUUAAAGUCAAAGUUUGGGCUACAUAAUGGAUCUGAUAAAUUUAUGUGAAACACUUGUAAUAUAAAUUUCUAGGCAUGUUCUCAAUUUUUUUUAAAAAAUGUAUCUGUCGUGCCUUUAUUGUUAUGCUGUUAAAUUUUAAAAUGUAAUGCAAUA